GUCGUGGUGGAGGACAAGAAGGCCGUCGGGGUCCAGACAAUCGUAACGGACCCCGCGG
rnacentral:ribozyme from 1 species